rnacentral:rRNA from 1 species
GUGAACGCUGGCGGUAGGCCUAACACAUGCAAGUCGAACGGCAGCACAGUAAGAGCUUGCUCUUACGGGUGGCGAGAGGCGGACGGGUGAGGAAUACAUCGGAAUCUACUUUUUCGUGGGGGAUAACGUAGGGAAACUUACGCUAAUACCGCAUACGACCUACGGGUGAAAGCAGGGGAUCUUCGGACCUUGCGCGAUUGAAUGAGCCGAUGUCGGAUUAGCUAGUUGGCGGGGUAAAGGCCCACCAAGGCGACGAUCCGUAGCUGGUCUGAGAGGAUGAUCAGCCACACUGGAACUGAGACACGGUCCAGACUCCUACGGGAGGCAGCAGUGGGGAAUAUUGGACAAUGGGCGCAAGCCUGAUCCAGCCAUACCGCGUGGGUGAAGAAGGCCUUCGGGUUGUAAAGCCCUUUUGUUGGGAAAGAAAAGCAGCAGGUUAAUACCCCGCUGUUCUGACGGUACCCAAAGAAUAAGCACCGGCUAACUUCGU